GAGAUUCUUCCCUUAAUCCGGCCAGGCGCAUGUUCAUACAACACUUCCGGUGGAACACCGUGGCAGCCUUAUAUGAAGAUAAAGACCUAUAUGCGCUAGCAAUAACUGAUAUGAGUGAACAUUUUGAAGUGGACAACAUCACAUUAAGACCUACCAUAGCUUUCAAAGAUACGUCAGAAAUACCCGAAAAAAUGAAGCAUUUAAAGGAGCAGGAUGUUAGAAUUAUAAUUGGUGGUUUCUCUGACCAAGCUGCCAGACAAGUGUUUUGUGAGGCUUAUAAACUUGGAAUGUACGGUGCUCGAUACGUAUGGAUCUUAAUUGGUGGAUAUACGUGGUUAAAUUUGACCUCGGACACCACGUGCACGCCACACCAAAUCAAGAAAGCAAUGGCAGGCUUUAUAACCGUUUCCAGCGUCAAGAGCUUACAUAAUGAAGGAAAAACAUUGGCUAAUUUGAGUUCAGCGGAAUUUCUUACGGAUUAUUAUAGCAGUAAUGGGAGUCAGCCUAAAAGUAUGUACGCUGAGACUAGUUAUGAUACAAUGUGGACCAUUGCCUUAACAAUCAAAAGUGCCCUCCAUUCUGGGUUGAUGACGGAAUAUAACGUAACGGAAUCCAUGUUUUCACGUGUUAAUUACACCAAUA